AGAGUUUGAUCCUGGCUCAGGAUGAACGCUAGCGGCAGGCUUAAUACAUGCAAGUCGAGGGGCAGCAGGACUGUAGCAAUACAGUUGCUGGCGACCGGCAAACGGGUGCGGAACACGUACGCAACUUACCCAGAACUGGGGCAUAGCCCUCCGAAAGGAGGAUUAACACCCCAUAAGAUAGUAGAGUGGCAUCACUCAGCUAUUAAAACUCCGGUGGUUUUGGAUGGGCGUGCGGCCCAUUAGAUAGUUGGUGAGGUAACGGCUCACCAAGUCUGCGAUGGGUAACUGGUGUGAGAGCACGACCAGUCACACGGGCACUGAGACACGGGCCCGACUCCUACGGGAGGCAGCAGUAAGGAAUAUUGGUCAAUGGAGGCAACUCUGAACCAGCCAUGCCGCGUGAAGGAUGAAGGCCCUCUGGGUUGUAAACUUCUUUUGUAAGGGAAGAAAUACAGACAUUCUUGUUUGUUUGACGGUACCUUAAGAAUAAGCACCGGCUAACUCCGUGCCAGCAGCCGCGGUAAUACGGAGGGUGCAAGCGUUAUCCGGAUUCACUGGGUUUAAAGGGUGCGUAGGCGGGCAGGUAAGUCAGUGGUGAAAUCUUCGAGCUUAACUCGGAAACUGCCGUUGAUACUAUCUGUCUUGAAUACCCGGGAGGUGAGCGGAAUAUGUCAUGUAGCGGUGAAAUGCUUAGAUAUGACAUAGAACACCAAUUGCGAAGGCAGCUCACUACAGGGUCAUUGACGCUGAGGCACGAAAGCGUGGGGAUCAAACAGGAUUAGAUACCCUAGUAGUCC
rnacentral:rRNA from 1 species